rnacentral:lncRNA from 1 species
CAGCUUCUUUUCUUUCUUUCUUUCUUGCAUCUUACAAAAACAGGAUCGAGGGUGAGGAACUGAGUGUGAGCCAAAAAACGAUUAGUAAGCUGUAUCACCAGCUAAACAAAGACGAGAGAAUACUGUCAGAGGGCAAAGGAAACUGGAGCUCAGAGUGAGGAACCAGAACCGAAAAUUUUAGCAGCCUGCAACAUCGAAUUCUUAGGAGAAAAGGGUAAGAACCUGCACCUAUUUUCUGUUUAUUUGGUGUAACUGGAAAAUCACAUGAGCUGCACGAGAACUUAGUAAAGAAAUGGACUCUUCGCAAAGGUGAAAUUCUGUUUUGAAGGAAAUGAAACUGUCGGAUAGAAAUGGAGGAAAUUGAGAGCUGUAGUUUGAAUUGCAGCCUAUAAAUGAUGAAAAUUUAUGUAAUAACCUCUUAAUCAUUUAGUACACUUGAAUACGCAUGCUGUGUGCUGGAUUCUAGCCAAGAAAAAUUAAGUUUUGUUGCAGGAAAAUCUUGUUUAGAAACUGAUAACUCGCUGGAAGAAAAUUUUGCUCUCUAACCGAGAGACAGGUACUGAUUGUGCAGCUUGCUAUCAGAGAAAGAUGGAAACUGUUAAGAGAAUAUAAAUAUUCUUGUAGAUAAUAAAUUAGUAAGGGUAUACUUGUAAAUAGUUUGUUAGGUUUGUACUCCUAUAAAUACUAGUUGGUCACUCAUAAUACGGUGACUAAAUGUUUUCCUCCAAAAAUACCUAUUUUCAUGGUAUUAGAGCAAAAGUCCUAGGGUUAGAGUUAAACAUCUAACAAAAGUCUUGUUCACGCGAUACUGUUCAUCAUGUUCACACGGCACUGUUCACGAGGCACUGUUCAUCUUGAGUUUUGACCCUUUCUUUGGUUUGAAGUGCUAUUCGCUAUGACUGAAAGUUUAUCAAAAGGUAUUGUGACGUCCACUAAUAUUAUGCCAAUGGUGAUGCCUCAAAUCACAAAUUGGAAGUUGAAUGAUACUAAUUAUCAACAGUGAUCAAAAGCCGUUAAGAUUUAUCUGACAGGCUUAGGAAAGCAGCAAUAUCUCAUAGAUGACUCUCCUAUGGAGGACCACAAGAGACUACUGUGGAUUCAAGAGGAUACCCAAAUUCUUGGAGCAAUAUGGAAUUCUAUAGAAUCACGAAUUGCUUACAUGUGUUCUCAUUGUGAGACAACAAAACAAGUUUGGGAUUAUGUCCGGUUAUUAUACUGCAGUAAUCUUUCACGGAUAUAUGAUAUUUUUUUGGAAUAUUUUCAGUUGCAACAAGAUAACAAGACAAUAACUGAAUACUUUGCUGAUCUUAAGCGAGUUUCAGAAGAAUUAAAUGAUGUAAUGCCUCUCUCAAGUGAUAUUACAGUUAUGCAGAGGGAAAGAGAACAAAUGCUUGUGCUCAAAUUCUUGGUUGGUCUCAAGCCAGAAUUUGAACUAAUCAAAUCUCAAAUUUUAGCAGGUGAACAAUUACCAUCCUUUGUAGAGGCGUAUGCUCGAGUCUUAUGUUCUGCAUCUAAGGACAAUGCACAGGGUGAUGGUGCUCUAAUUAAUAACAAAUCUGCUUUAGUUGCUAACAACAAUCAGAUAGAGCAACUUAAUUUUGGACGUAGCUCUCGUGGAGGAAGAAGUAGAGGAGGUCGUGGGGGUCGUGGAGGUCGAGGCACCCGUGAGUGCACUCAUUGUGGUUUGAAGAAUCACACUCGUGAUACUUGUUGGGAUUUAAAUGGAAAACCACCUCGGUUUGCUAAUGCGGUUACCACUGACCAAGCUGAAUCAAGUUCUUCAGCACAAGGGUCCCAGAAGACUUUUACCAUAUCCGAGGAAGAUUAUGUCAAAUUUCUACAGUACCAAACUGUAAAUCACACAUCUCUUCCCUCUGUUUCUUUAGCACAAAAAGGUAAUGCUAUGGCUUGUCUCUCCACAUCCUCUAAUUUUGACUCAUGGAUCAUUGAUUUCGGAGCUACUGAUCAUAUGUCAGGUAUCUCUAGAAAUUUUUCUAAUUUUCAAGAGUCUACUUCAUUCCCUCAUGUUACUUUAGCUGAUGGAUCUACAACUAAAGUUAAAGGACUAGGCACUGUAGAAAUUAACCCAUCUCUUCCGCUGUCUUCUGUUCUUUACGUAUCCAAUUUGCCUUUUAAUCUAAUGUCCGUUAGUAAGUUUACUAAAUUUCUACAGUGUUCAGUUAUUUUUUCUCUUGAUUUUGUUGUCAUUCAGGAUUUGAAGACGAAGAGGAUGAUUGGUGGAGGGCAUGAACACAAUGGUCUUCAUUUUUUCAACUCUAAUGGUCCGAUUGCGUGCCCUGCCAUUGUUUCUCCUCUUGAAAUUCAUUGUCGUUUGGGUUAUCCGUCUCUAUAAAAUUUGAAGAAAUUGGUUCCUACCUUGAGUCAGUUGUCUUCAUUAGAAUGUGAAUCUUAUCAAUUCGGAAAACAUCAUCGUAUUUUUUUUGCCCCUAGAGUCAAUAAACGGGUUUCAGAACCCUUUUUGUUAGUUCAUUCUGAUGUUUGGGGUUUUAGUCGAAUUACUUCAAAGUUAGGUUUUAAAUAUUUUGUAAUCUUUGUUGAUGAUUUUUCUAGAGUUACAUGGUUUUAUUUAAUGAAAGAUUGUUCAGAACUAUAUUCCAUUUUUUUGUGCAUUUGUUACAGAAAUAAAGAAUCAAUUUGGUGUGCCUGUACGUAUACUUCGCAGUGAUAAUGCGAAAGAAUAUUUUUCCACUCCUUUUGAUACUUUUAUGAUUAAGUCCGGUAUUCUUCAUCAGUUCUCUUGUCCUCACACUCCACAACAGAACGGAGUUGCUGAAAGAAAAAUGGAACAUUCAAUCGAAAUUGCUCGAACACUUUUGUUGCACAUGAAUGUGCCUAAACACUUUUAGAGUGAUGCAGUUCUAACUGCAUAUUAUUUAAUUAAUCGCAUGCCAUCUAGUAUUCUUGGAGGCCAAUUACCUCAUUCUAUUCUUUUUGCUCAUGAACCUGUAUUUAAAUUACCUAAUCGUAUUUUUGAAUGUGUGUGCUUUGUUCAUCAGCUUGCUCCCGGCGUGGAUAAAUUAGAUUCUCGUGCUCUUAAGUGUAUUUUCUUAGGAUACACAUGAGCGCAAAAAGGGUAUAGAUGAUACAAUCCAGUUUUAAAUCAAUUUUUUACUUGUGUUGAUGUUAUUUUCUUUGAAUCCACUCCAUAUUUUAUGAAACACGGUAUGCCUUGUGAGUUAGACCAGUGUCCCUCUUUUUCCUCUCCUGUUUUACCAGCCCCUUCCUCUUUAUUACCUAAGUUAUCUAGUCCACCAGAUUCUAUAGCUCGAUUAUCUCGUCCUACUUUUCAAGUUUAUUCUCGUCGUUCCAUGGUUGAGAAAGUUCCUGAUAUGCCACGCACUUCACCAAUUAACUCUCAAUCUUCAAAUCCAGGUAUGACGCCCUCCUUUGAGUUAGAUCUUUCUAUUGCUUUACGCAAAGGUAAGAGGCAUUGUACUUUUUAUCCCAUUUCUAAUUUUAUUUCUUAUUUUCGUCUCUCAAUGUCAUAUUCUUUAUUUUGUUACUUUCCUUGAUUCUAUCUCUAUUUUUAAGUCUAUUACCCAUACUCUUAAUCAUCCUGGUUAGAGAUUAGCUAUGCAAGCAGAGAUGUCUACUUUGGAACAAAAUGGUACUUGGGAUCUUAUCCCUUUUCUUUCUAGUAAGCCUAUUGUUGGUUGUAAAUGGGUGUACACUAUAAAAGUGCAGUCUAAUGGUUCUAUUGAUAGAUUGAAGGUUUGUCUGGUAGUUAGAGGAUUUACUCAAGUGUAUGGAAGAGAUUACUUAGAAACAUUUUCUCUUGUUGCAAAGAUUACCUCGGUUCGUCUUCUUAUCUCUUUGGCAGCAACUUAUAAUUGGCCAUUGCAUCAGUUGGAUGUGAAAAAUGCAUUUCUACAUGAAGAUUUGGAAGAAGAGGUAUAUAUAGAACAAUCUCCUGGCUUUGUUGUUCAGGGGGAGAAUUCGCAGUUGGUUUGUCAGUUGAAAAAAUCCUUAUAUGGAUUGAAACUGUUUCCGAGGGCUUGGUUCGGCCGGUUUAAUAGUGUUGUCAUGGAGUUCGGUCUGACAAGAUGUGGAGUAGAUCACUCUGUAUUUUAUCGGCAUUCUAAUGCUGGUAAAAUUUUAUUAGUUGUUUAUGUGGAUGAUAUUGUGAUUACAGGUGAUGAUGUUGUGAGGAUCCAAAAAGUUAAAUCCAAUCUGCAGGCAAAUUUUUAGACAAAAGAUUUAGGUCAUCUACAGUAUUUUCUGGGUAUUGAGGUAGUUCGGUCUAAAUAUGGGAUUUAUUUAUGUCAAAGGAAAUAUGUACUCGAUAUGCUAAGUGAAGUUGGGAUGUUAGGUUGCCGACCUGUGGAUACUCCUAUGGAUCCUAAUGUGAAAUUAGUAGGAGAUCAAGGUGUAUUAUUAGAUGAUCUUAAGCAAUAUCGAAGACUUAUGGGUAAAUUAAAUUAUCUCACUGUAACGAGACCUGAUAUUUAGUUUGCAGUGAGUGUUGUGAGUCAAUUUCUUGGUACCCCAGUACUAGUCAUUGUAAUGAUGUUAUAUGGAUUCUCAGGUAUCUUAAGAGUGCUCCUGAAAAAGGGUUGUUGUAUCAAAAUCAUAGACACACUGAUGUUGAAGGAUAUAGUGAUGCAGGUUGGGUUGGUUCUGCUUCAGAUCGAAGAUCGACCACAGGAUAUUGUGUGUUUGUUGGUAGUAAUUUAGUGUCGUGGAAGAGUAAGAGGCAAACAGUUGUCUCCAGAUCAAGUGUAGAAUCUGAAUACCGUGCUAUGACUCACAAUGUGUGUGAGUUGGUUUGAUUGAAGAGCAUGUUACUUGAAAUUGGGUUUGAGCAUAAACAGCCUAUGAAUUUAGUGUGUGAUAAUCAGACGGCUGUUCAUAUUGCGUCUAAUCUAGUGUUUCAUGAAAGGACAAAACAUAUUGAAGUUGAUUGUUAUUUCAUUCGAGAAAAAUUGCUUGACGGAAUCAUCAAGACAUCUCAUGUACCGUCUGUAGAUCAAUUGGCUGAUUUGUUUACCAAGAGUUUAAGGGGUUCUAGGGUGAAAUACAUUUGUAACAAGUUGGGUGCUUAUGAUAUAUAUGCUCCAAUUUGAGGGGGAGUGUUAAGAGAAUAUAAGUAUUCUUGUAGAUAAUAAAUUAGUAAGGGUAUUCUUGUAAAUAUUUUGUUAGGUUUGUACUCCUAUAAAUACUAGUUGGUCACUCAUAAUAUGGUGACUAGAUGUUUUCCUCCCAAAAUAUCUGUUUUCAGAAACUAUAGCUAGGAAUGUAUGAAUUACGCCUACUUUAAAUAUUAAAAGACUGUUAGCCGUAGAAACUUGCAAAAGUUGGAACUUUAAGCUGAAUUUAUUGAAAGAAACCUGAUGAAAAUCUGUUAGCUUCACACGAGAGAAAUGGAGCUAAGAAACAUUAGCUAUCUUUUGCAAUUUGGCUUUUAAACUUUUUCAUUAAGCUGUGAUGUGUUAUAAAACAUCUUAACUUCGUCAAGCAAGAUAGAAAUGAGUAUAAAUUGAAGUGAACACUGAAGGAAAGAUGAAUGUAAGCUGCUGCAGAUAGGUUGGCCGAGAAAAUGAGAAUGGAAUAUGUAACUUGUUGUUGAUAUUCUGGAAACUCUUACUAAUAAACACAUGAGAUAUGUGUAAUCUCUUAUCUUAAUAGAUAGGUGCCUUGAACUGGUAAAACCUUAGAGAAUUCUAGCUAAAACUGGCAAGGAAAGCUGGUGCAAUCUGUUAGGAUGCCGAGAGCAAGGAAAUUAUCUUCUGACCAAUUUUCCUCCAAUUUCCAACACUAUAAAGCUUCAUAGAUGAUAGUCAAAGCUGCUCCGUAGAUUAAUAACUAUGUUUGGCACUAUGAGUAGAGUUAAACUAAGGCAAAUAAGGAGGAAAGCUGUGAAUCAAACUGCUGAAUUACUUCUUUGCAGAGAGAGAGAGGGAAGAGUUUUGAUCAGUCUUUCCUUUGGGUUUAGCUACAAAUUUUCUACGUUCUGUACAAGGCUGCUUUGUAGAUUAAUAAAUGUAAUUAACUUGUCUAGUUGGGACAUGAGAGUGAAAGGAAAGAUUUGAGGGAAACAUACCGAAUAUUGGACCGAUAAAUUGCUAGAAAGGCUAGUUAAUGGUUGCGAUUGAAGAUGAGAAAUUUUGUAUAUGAUGUGGUCAAUCGACAUGCUGAAAUUAUGAGUUAUUCACCUUGAAUGAAAUGUAUACUAGGUGACUAAAGUUUAAGCAAUUAAAAAGUGGAGUUGUUGUAGGUUAAGGAACAUUUGAGCUAAAAUACUGUUUAUGCUGACCAGAUGAAGGGAGAAAUGAAACUUUUAUGGAAUCUUAAAAUUUAAGCUAAUUCAUUGUGGAACUCCGCUUAUGAACAUUUAAGAAAUUUAAACAAGAAAACUAAUACGUUUAUGCAAAACUUAAUAGACAACUUAGAAUUUGAUUUGGAAAAAAAAAGAAGAGAAGGAUGAAAAGUUGGUUUAUUUUAACUUUAAGAUAUAGAGUGAGAAAUGGUUUAAUCCUAAUUUAAAUAUUUAUAAAUCAUAACCUUAGAAAAUAUGUAUAUUUCUUGGUUAAAAUGAUAAAGUAAAUAAGUUUCGAAAUGAAAUGUAGAAUAAAUAUUGAAUAUAUUAUAUUUUGUAUUUUAAAGUCAAACUUGAUUUUAAUAGUUCAAAUAAUAGGGUAAUAAAUAAUAAAUGAAUAUCUACAAAUUUUAUAUUUACUUUGGACUUAUACACUUAUCCCAGGGAAUAGCUGUGAGCCAGGAAACAAACUCGAGACUCAAGAGUAAAUUAUUUGGAUAUUUGGUGAAUGUUUUUGAAUUUGUGUGUUUAACUGUUUAUGUUUAUUUAAGUGAAAUUAUGUGAUAAAUGUGCUUAUUAUGGAAUAUUGCUAGUGAUUCAUUAUAAAGUGUAUCUCAAUUGUCCCCCGCCUUCAAAGUCGGGGGUGUACUUUAUCACACUCGAUUUAGUUGAGUUUGAAGGUUGAUAAUUGACCAAAUGUUACUGUAAGUGUGCAUGAAUGUAAGUCGUAUGUGUACUUUACUGCAUUGGCUGAACUGGGCCCCAAAACCCUCUGUUCUACGGAUUAUUCGAGCCAGCAAAGGGUUUGGUCGGAUAGGACGGAAGCUUUGGAUAACUAUUUCGGUAUACUCGAGUAUUACCCUAAAAUUGGGAGAUUAUUGAACUGAUUAUCGAAUGUAGGGGAUUGUUUAUUGUUUUGGAGGAUAUAAGGAGGUGAAUUGGCGGAGUAUGCAAUGAUAUUGAAAUGAACGUAUCACAACACUGAAAUGAAUGUACACUGAUAUUGAAAUAACUCUCAGGAGGAGUUUGUAUACUUUUGAAACUGACUAUACAGUGAAAAGUGCCUCUAAUGCGAGCACUGUAUCCUUUUAAAAGUGAAUGUUCAGUGAAGUGUUCCUUAGUUGCUUAAUUUUGUUAUUGGCUUAUCUAGUUUAAGUGUUUAUUGAUUGUCGCUUGCAUGGAAACCUCACUAAGCUAUAACUCAACCUUAUAGUUUGUUUUCCUUACAGGAGUUGGUAGUCGAGAAACGAAUAAGGGAGCUUAGGGAGUUAACAUGAAUUCUUUUGUGAUUGUAAAUUAUCUAGUAUCAUUUCACGGCUGACGUUUUGUAUUAAACUUAGCAUUGUAAAAGAUUGGAACAUGUGGUUUUAGUAUACCACAAUGUUAUCUCUGAAGUUAAUGUAAGAUUAAUGAGAGUUUAUCAAAUGUUAUCUCUGAAGUAAUGUGAUUGAGUGAGUGCUAGCGAGAGCUAGGCAGGCGAUCUGCUAACUUCUAGGGUAUGCCCUAGAAGGAGGUGGGACCGUCACAGCAGUGCUGAUUGUUUUCUUACCGGGUAAUACAGCUUGACUUAGGGUUGAGCACAAGGCAACAAAUACACCUUCAUUUGGCUUUGAGCUUUUAUGUGAUCGCUGCAACCGGAAUGAUUCUACUUCAUCAUCUUCACCAGAAUUAUCUGCCGGUUUUCUCGAUGGUGGUUUGUAAUCUUCAUCAUCUUCAUAGUCAACUAGCCCACCAGACCUUGUAGAAGGAUAGGUUGUAGUAGAACCAUUAGGCAAAUUGUGUUGGGAUUGUUCUCUCUUUCUACUUGGCAUAGAUGCUGAUGCUGAAUCUUCUUCAUCACUAUCGUCAUUGAAAUAAUCUUCCUCUUCCUUCUCAAGAGCACGAUCGUCAAUUCGUUUUCUGGAGUCUAACACAUUAGUGUUACUUCUCAAUCCAGCGCUUUCAAGUGCCUGUUCAUAUUUAACCUUCAGCGAACGUAUUGAUGGCAAAUUAUCAAAUUGGGCUAACUGUUCCCAGAAAGAAUCAACUAAGUACUUCAACAAUAUCUUCAGGUUCUCCUUUCUGAUAUACUCGAAAAGUUCCAGAACGGCAGAAUUGAGCAGAUUAUAACGACUGCCAUUACUAACAAAAGCAUCAACAAUUGGUUUCAACAGGUUAUUCUUCACAAUAUGAGACAACAGAUGUUCAUCAUUGCGUGAAAUAAGAGUUCUAAUAAAUCUAGCAGCAGCUACUACGAGGUACUUUUCUCUUCGGUGUGUCAGAAGCAAAACUUUAUCAAUCACACUAUUGAGAAGAAAGUUGCAUUUUAUUCUACACGGGUGGUGCAAAACGCAAAAGCAGAGCAGAUCACAAAUGUUUAAUAAUAUUUCUGGCUUGGCACUAAUUUGAUUUCCAGUUUCUUCAUCUGAUCUCCCAGAUUUACUGCCAGCUUGAGCAGCGCUAUUAGGUGGGCAUGAGGAUGUUAUGACAUCAAUCAAAUGAUCCAAGUGCUUCUCAUAGAAGAUGUCGAUGAUAGACUCUCUCUGUGAUCCUGAUGUAUACGAAUCCAAAAGAUUAUGAAGAAUUUGAAGAAAUUGACAAUGCAUGUCAGCUCCAAAAUCUGUGAGCAUACCCUUCACUAAAAGCCCAAAAAGAGGGAUCCCUUCUUGCCGAGUUACAUAAAAACGCAAAAGGUUUGGAUCCUGAUUUAAGAAAAGAAUGAGGAUGUCAGUCCCAGUUAAUAUGAGCUUUUUAUCUUGACUCUGCAGGAUAUCAGUUAUGAUCUCAAGUAUGUUUUCUUUAAUCAGAUCCCGAUAUAGCCGAAGUUGCUGCACUAUCUGUAAGCUCUUACUUAGGGAACAAAUCUCAUGCAAGAAGAGUACCAAAUUUUUUUUUGAUUCUGCAGAAGUUGAACAUGACUUCAAUCUUGCAAAUAAUUCUUGAAUGAAGGUGUUGCCAUCCUUUAACAAUGAGACAACAGUUGCAUUGUUUGAAUGAAUUAUGGAAUUAAGGCUUGCAACCGUAGCCUCGUCCAAUACUAUAGGCUGAAUGACAUCCUUGAGAUAACCAACUCUGUACGUCUGAUGAAUUUUUGAAAGAGCCACGGGAUCCUUAAUAGGUAUGGCCUCCUUAAAGACCACAUUCUCUUUAAGGAAAUUUCGAUGAUGAACAUGAGGUACAUCAAGAUCAUAUUCGAGGCAUCCAAUUAUAUCCAUAAUGUAUUCAUCACCAAAAUUAUAUCAUAGAUCUGCGUGCUAUUCAGCAAAAUAAUUCCUCGGACUAGUUUGAAAACCAUGUGAAGGCCAUCAAUGUUUUCCAAAUCUUCACAAAUCCUGAAGAGAUCCAUGAGCUUCCUAAUAAAUUCUAGAUCAUGUAGUAUGAGAUCUGUAACACGCAACUGAUCAGCAAUCCCACUUCCAACUAUAAUCUUUAGUAUUAAAGGUAGUGUAGACAGCUCAACUGGAGGCAACUCCCGCAAUUCACUAUUGACGUUAUGGUAUGUCUCGUUGCUCAAGGUAUUAAAGUGCAUGUUCCUUUGCACAUUACAUAUGUUGUCCCAAAUGUAAGAGCAACCAGUUGUUUCUUGAAAGCUAAAGGCCAAUUCUGUUGCAUACUCAGGAUCCCUCCAAGAAAUGAUUGUAUCUUCUUGUUUGCGGUAGAUGUCAUCUGAGCUUAUCCGGUGCAAAAGUAAUAUUUCAUUAUCUUCUUCAUCAAUAACAAAUAAACCUAACUCUUCCGAUCUCUCUAAAUAAUCAACAAUAACAUGCCCAGUUCCUUGGUCAUCCCAUUUACCAUCAUCAUUCAGCCGACAAACCUUAAAACGCUGCAUCGAAUUGUUGGUGCUGGGGGAUUUCUCCAGGGCACCCAUAGACAUGUUAUGGUGUGAUCAGAUUACCCAGGAUUUAAGAAAAAGAAAUUGAUGUAAUAGUAAAUGCAAACUCCAAGAUCAGGAAAUGGGGUUUUAUUAUAUUAAUAAUUCUGCAAAAAACUAUUACAGAAACAGAGGAGAUGGAAUAAGAAGAGAAGGGGAGAAGAAUGAAGGAAACUUGGUGAGGGGAAAAUGGAAACGCUCGGCUGAGUAUUAACCAGUGCAAAUUGCCAAAAAACCAAAAAGUCCAAUGACAGCAGCAAUUUAUCCUACUUAUACUGCGUCUAUUCCAACCAACUUCCAAGGCUCCCAAUACAAUCUAAACACGUAGCCUUCUUUUACUCAGCUCACUCCAUGACAAAGUCUCCCCCUUAAACAAUCCUUGUCCUCAAGGAUGUCAAACAAAGUUCCAGGCUUCCAAACAAAGUUUUCAGAUUGAUAUUUGGCAAUUCGCAGCAAGCAAGUAGUAUAAGAAAAUGACAAAGCUUGCUGAUUCUUCUGAGAUUGAUCUUCCAUAAGCAUGUGCAAAAGAAAUUUAGCCGCCAACUUUUGCAUAACUGAAACAAAAGAAUCAAGUAAAGGAAUUGGGAGUUCACAAGUUUGAUGGUCAACCAGGCCUUGUGGCUCCAAAAUGUUUACAACCUUUAAAGUUCUAAAUUGCCCAUCACUCCCAAAGUCAGGUCCUGGAAUUAGUUUUAGCUGAGCAACAAGAGCUGAAAUUCUAGAAGUAGCACCACCAACCAUAUAUAACCUUUUAAGAGCAACUUGAUCUGGAUAAUGCAAAUCAAGGAAUUUCUCUACUGCUUUAAAAGGUCUUGCAGGUUAGCAUCAACACAACCAAGCAAGGUUAGAAGUCCUGCUGUUACUCCUGGAUUUGAAACAGAUAGGAGAAUUCCUAUGUAGCCAUUACAGGCCAAGCCAGCUAGAAAUUGCAGACCAAAGUACCUAUUUGUUGGCUCUUUUAAUUCCAAGAAAUUAGCAAGUACUGAUAUAGCUUUCACUGGUGCAUGUACCUGUAUGAUAUCCCUAUCUUGAAACACUAUUGCUGGUAAUAUGCCGUAAACCAAUGUGCUAUUAUUCUUACUAAAGUCAAUUUGACUACACCAUAACAAAGAUUGGGAAGAUUUCUCAUUAAGAAGUUCACUUUCCCCAACCUCCAUAAUCACAAUUUUAGUUUUGUGACCACAUAUAGCAAGAGUAGAAAGUUGCCAAAUGGAAAUGCGGACACCAUAGAUAACUGUUGUACACUUCUCUACUUCUCCUUUCUGUGGACAUCUUCUUUCAAGCAAUUUGAAGCUGCACUCCUGUACAUAUUUCAAUUGUCCAUUGCUGAAGUUUUCAAGCAAGAUAACCUCACCGGGGUUGAACACGUAAAUGAAUGCAUUUGCAUCUUUUUGCACCCCAAGUGCAUUGUUUUUCACUAUCCAAAAUGAAGACACAGAGCAGUACUCAUCCACAGCAACAUUAGGAUUGCAGUCCUUACUUAAUUUAGGCAACCCUUUGAUCAAGCAAACAAGGUGUUCAACUAUUGCUAUGUAAAAUAUACCUUGCAUCGAUACCGCACCAAUUUUAGAGUCAUUACAGUCUUUGUUCAUUGCUAUUUUAGUAUUGCCCCCAGGAUCAAAUAUCAAGUCAUCAAGUGGUCUAUUUUGUUAUGAAGGAACAAUAUUGACGGCACCAUCAUGCUUUUGUUCAUCAUUAUCCAUUUUCACAAGUUUAGAUGAUAACAUAGAUUUUAGAUAUGAAGAACAGUUUCCAAACUGAUAACCACUACAGGAUAACUGAUUCCAAUUGAUUUUCACCUCAGUGAACUUUUGCUUUACCUCAUAGCUGACCCAAGACCGAUUUCUGGGACAAUGGAGAGGUGAAGCAGAGUUAAAUAUUUCCUUGUCUAUAGAGCCUUGUUGCCAAGCUAGCUCCCCUAUAAACAAUUCAUAGCUAAGCCCUUGAGAGAUAACACAAUCGUUGUGAGCCAAUCUAUCAAACACUUGGUUUAUAGCAUUUUCUUCUUGAUAGUCCCUUGCUGAUGUUUUAUGUUGUUUCUCCUCUAAAAAAUCCAUUGGAGUCCUUUCACACAAUUCAUCAAACAUGUGGCUGACUACACUUUCAUCCUUCAAGUUAGUGAUUAUAUCAUUAUGUUCAACCUCUAUAACCUCAUUUUCUUUCAUAAGCUGCUCUCCUUUUGGUAAAUCAAGAGUAGAAUCAUACUUCUCCAUUACGGCUCCCUCGAUUUUUGCUCAGAGAUAUGCUUCAUUCAAAAUCUUGGGUGGAUUCCUAAAUCCCUUUAGCUUCAUCUGGAUAUUCCAAUCAAGCCCAAAGCUAAAACCAUCAAUAAAGUAUUCCUCACUGAGUUCUGGUUUCAAAGCCAACAUCUUGUUUCUCCACUCUUCAAAUUCCUCAUAGUAUUGUACUACGUUAGUUAUUUUUUUAGGCAUCUUAUGCUCCACCAGGAAGUAAUUCGGCAUUUUAGAGAUUUGUUCAAGGGUCUCCAUAUAUAUAUAUAUGUUUUGGUUGGUCAGAAAAGAGAUGAAGAUGGAUAGGGAAGAAGGUGAAUCAGAAGUGAAGGAAAAAUUAGGAGGAAAGAUUUCUAAUCAAGCAGCCAAACCCAGACGGAUCGUAGCUGCUCUGAUACCACUGAUACGGUGUGAUCAGAUUACCCAGGAUUUAAGAAAAAGAAAUUGAUGUAAUAGUAAAUGCAAACUCCAAGAUCAGGAAAUGGGGUUUUAUUAUAUUAAUAAUUCUGCAAAAAACUAUUACAGAAACAGAGGAGAUGGAAUAAGAAGAGAAGGGGAGAAGAAUGAAGGAAACUUGGGGAGGGGAAAAUGGAAACGCUUGGCUGAGUAUUAACCAGUGCAAAUUGCCAAAAAACCAAAAAGUCCAAUGACAGUAGCAAUUUAUCCUACUUAUACUGCUUCUAUUCUAACCAACUUCCAAGGUUCCCAAUACAAUCUAAACACGUGGCCUUCUUUUACUCAGCUCACUCCAUGACAAGACAACAAUUUCUUCGUUAUUGGCGAAGUCAAAAUUUACUAGAAGAAUUGCUGCUUGGACUCAACUAUAGCAACCGAUGCAUGUAGCUCGCAAAAUUAGGGUUUUGAUUAAAAAAAAUAAUGAACUAAAUAUGUCAAAAGAUUAGUAGCUAUUUUGAAAAUUCAACCAAAAUAAGAUUAACGGUUGCUUUAAGCAAGAUCAAUUGGCGAAAACCCUCACUUCCAUGAACAAAUGAAUCUUCGAUACUUUUUCUUUGGGUUCUUUCUCCCUCUAAAACGUUUAAGCUCUGGCUUUGCUUUGUUUACUCUCUCUCUUCUUUUUAUUCCUUUUCGUGGGAGAGUCCGACAAGAUUAAUCCUAAACUAAUACCUAGCAAUUCUGUUUGCGCAGAACAAUAGUGUAUGUAAUGCAAGGACAAGUAGAAUUGUCUAUGACAAAACUGAUUAAAAAGCCUUAGUAGAUAGAUUGGGAAAAAGUACUAAAAUAAAUUGCAAGCAACCCAUAUUUAAAAAUAUACUCUUUGUUAGACACAAUGGAGACAGAGAACUUUGAUGCAAUAAUUUUCAAGCAUGUAAACAAAAGCUCUCACUAGGGGCACAAAAGUUAAGCCAGUUUAAUAAAAUAGAUCUUAGUUAAAAGGUAAUUUUUACUUGAGAGUUUCAUACUUUAAUUCACCCAAUGUUCCACAAUCUGUGUUACCAAUACCAUACACACUGCAUGAACUUGUUACAGUGUUAAUAUGUUUUUUGUAAAGGAACUUCUCUCUCAUUUUCUGUUCCAAUAGUUAUUAAACCGUUAUAUAUUCCUCAUGAACAUCUCAUUUUAAUUUUUUUGUCCCUUUAAGUUCCAACAAUUACUUAUAGGGUAGAAUACAAAAGAUAACAGACUAAAUAAUAAUAUAUAACAAAAAAAUUAUUAAAAACGCAUUUUGAAGUUAAUUUUUUUUGUCUACGAUCUUUUAUAUUCUACUAUAUUAGUAGUUUUAAAACCUAAAGGGACAAGAAAAAGAAAUAAAAUAGGAUGUUUAUGAAGAAUAUAUGAUGAUUUAGAACCCGAUUGAGGUUGCAGUGCUUUUGGUAAAAGCACUUUUUAGUGCUAAAAAUACUUUUGAGGUGUUUAGUGAAUCUUGAAAUUAAAAAUGGAGUUUUUGGUGUUAAAAUAGUUUUGGCAAAAGGUCAAACUCCCAUUUGGGGUAGUGGUGCUUUUGUUAAAAAAGCACUUUUAGGUGCUAAAAAUACUUUUGAAAGUGCUUUUCAGGUGUUUGGUAAAUAUCAUCCCAUAAAAUUAGCAAUAGAGCUUUUGGUGUUAAAAGCACUUCUAGAAAAAGCUCAAUUUGGUGCUUUUAAAAUAGCUUUAUAUUUUAAUAAACAAAAUAUUAAAUUUAAUCAUUUUAUCUUAUAUUGUGAACUAAAUAAAGAGAUAAAUGCAUUUUAAAAUUUUAAAAUUAUACAUUAUUCAAUAUAACAAGUAUUUAUAGAACUAUGUAGCCAAACAAUAUACUUAAAAGCAUUGAAACACUUAAUAAGUGGUUUUAUUAGAAGCUCUAUUAGGUGAAGUAUUUUUUAAUAAAUUACAACAACACUAAACAGGCUUUUAGAAUAACUUUUGUGUUUCAAAAAAAUAAAACAUUAAAUUUAAUUAUUUUAUCCUAUAUUAUGAAUUAAAUAAAGAGACAAAUACAUUUAAAAAAUUUUAAAUUACACAUUAUUCAAUACUACUUUUGGAACUAUGUAUCUAAACAAUAUAUUUAAAAGUACUUAAGCAUUGAAUAAGUGCUUUUAUUAAAAUCUCUAUUAGAUAAAAUACUCUUCAAUAAGUUAUAGUAGGACUGUCAAUGUGUCGUGUCGUGUCGGGUCGUAUUUGUAUCAUGUCAAAUUCAUGUUCAUAUUAAACAAGUCUAAAUCCACACAUGACAUAUUUGACUUUCGCGUUGUAUUCAUCUCAUAACCUGUUUACUAACAUAUCAUGCCGUAUUUUUACCCAAUUGAUCCAUUUAACUUUUUACAUGAAAAUUAUAGGUGACAUAUCACCUAAACUUAAAACAUGGUUCUCUUUCAAGAAAACAUGUGAUGUUCUUUUAAUCACUUUUAGUUUCAACCUCUGAUUGGAUUUUACUUAUAUAAGUUUUGAAUGCAUUGUCAUCUCAUUAACAAUAUAUAAAAAAGUCUAUUUUGUUUUUCUUUAACAAGAAAGAGAAACUUUAAGGAAAAAGGAUAAGGAAAACCUUGCAAUAGAAAACCAGUAUAAACAAGAAAAUGUUCAAAAAUGGAAUUAGAUGAAAAUAAUAGAAAAUUUGUGGAAUAGAGUUAAAAUUUACCCAGAAAAGAUAUUUAAUCAGUAAGAAAGGAAGAAAAAAUUAGCAAUAUUUGAUUUGAAGGUAAGUAUUUGAUCAAUUUCAAAAAUGAAGAAUGAAGGUGGGAGUGAAAAACUAAAUUCAUGAAGGUUGUCUAUAUUCAUCAAUUUGAGAAAAUAAGAACAAUGAAGGAAGGAAGUGAAAAAUUAAAAUCAUAAAAAUUGUACAUAUGAAAUAUUUGUGAAGUCUGGAUUUACAUGUUUAUAUAUUCCUGUAAGAGAAUUUUUUUUAAUUAUAUACUUUAGUUUUUAAACAUGCUUAUAUAUUCCUGUAAGAGCUUAAGUAUAUUAUUUUAGUUUUUAAACUUCAAAAUUUAACAUAAAACCAUUUAUUUUUGGUGUAGUAUUAAGAGGGAACCAAGUAACAUUUUUUUUUAAAUUCUUAACAUGUCAAUAAUAGUUUAAUCGAGUCAACCCACAGGUUGACCCAUUACGACCCAUUUUGUUUAUGUGUUGUGUUUGUGUUAACCUAUUUUUGACAUAAAUUAUCCCCUAUCAUGUUUCGUCUAGGUUUUUUCUCUAUCAUAUCUGUGUCGUACUCACGUGUUGUGUCAAGAGUUGCCACCCUUAAUUACAGCAAUCCCAAAACGGGCCCUUAAAAGAUUUGGGACAAGAAAUGGUACAGGAAAUGGGAUAGAAAAUGCUUUGUGCAUAUCUUAUCACUUUAUGGAAUUCCAUAGUUUUCCUAUUUGUAGGAGUUAUAAAUUAUCAAAAUUCCCCUUCAUUCUCUCCAUGACAAUUUUAAGUUUCAAAAAUAGCUCCAACCUUCCCCUUCAUUUUGUCCAUGUCAUUUCUUACUUUAUAGUAAAAGACGUAUAGUACAAUAUCUACCACCAACAAAUAUAUCCUUUCAAAAUAUGCAAAAGAUAGAUUGCGCCAUACACAAUAGUUUUAACAAAGUCAAAACUAAAGGUGGCAAUGGGCCAUGUCAUUUUCUUAUCUUGUCAUGCCAUAUCUUGUUCGUGUCAAAAAAUCUCAACUCUAAUUCAAUUCAUUAGACUUUCGUGCCAUGUCGUAUCUUGUGUGAGGACCUAAAUUUUCACAUUUAUUCAUUUUGGACCAAAUGUCUCAUAUUUUGCAUCAAGACAAAGGUUUUGUGUAUCUUUGCUCAAAUUUAGUUGUUUUGUUUGCAAAGUUGUUUUAUAAUCUGACAAUUUUUUCUCAUAUAUUUUUUUAUUGCCACUUACUUGCCUCAAAUUCUUGAUUGCUUCAAUGGUAAAUCAUGACUUUUUUUCCUAUUGUAUUAUCUCAUUUGGUGCAUGUUUAAUUUGGUACACGUUAGGUUUCAUAGUGUAUAAUACUAGUGUGACCGAUUAGUGAAGUGUGUAUCAUAAAUUUGGAGGAUUAGAGAGAGUUUUGGAUAAAAAGGAAUAUUAUGCUACAAGGUGUUAAGAGAUAAUUAGAGAUGGGAUGGAUAUUUUGGUGAAUGGAAGACAAUUAGAUAAGGGUUACAUCUUAAUUUGCCAUUUAUCAAUAAGCCACCAAGUUUGACCAAGACUAAAGCUUGAUCUUUAUCCUUAUUAAGCUUCCAUUUGACCACAAAAUAAUCUCCUUCACUAAGCUUCUUGGGAUGGACAAAAUUUGAGAGGAAAAGGAGAGAAAAAUACUCCAUUUUCGGCCUUGAUCUCUUUCUUGCCUGAAUCAUGAAGAAUCCAAAGAAAAAUCUUGAUCUACUCCAAUCAAUCUUGAGGUAAGUUUGGAGGGAAACUCUUGGUCAAAUUUUGGAAGAAGAAAAUCUUGUAUCCCUCUUGAUUUGCUUGUCAUCUUGGGGUUUUGACGUAAAUGUUCUAGGAAACAUCUCUUUUUAUUUGUUUCUUGAGAUUCAUCCACGAUAUGUCAUGAUUGAAGCUAAAGGAAGCAUAUUAAUGGAAGAUUUAAGAUUUUAUGGUUUUGUUAGGUUUUGGUGAAUUUUCCAGCUUUGAUUUCCAGAAAUUCAUGGUAAUUUUAGCAAGGUUUUUGCUUAGGAUACUUUGUUAAACCUUAAUCUUCACAUGUCUAUUGAAUUUGAGCCAAGGGAGUGAGAUUUUGUUAAGAAAAGUUUCAUUUUCUCAAGUUGUUGGAAAUCUGGAAAUUUUCACAGGGACCUCUAUGCAGCUUUGGCAAAUUGGUUAUAAUUUUGUAUAUAAAAGUUAGAAUUGAGUUCUGUUUGUUGCAUUUGAAACUAGACUCAUAGAGCUUCCAAUGAUAUAAAAUUCAGGGUUUGGUUCAAUUUCUAUAAAGACCAGAAAAUCUACAAAGUUUCUUGAAAAUCAUGACAGUUCUAUUUCUACACUUGUGAUAGCAGUGAUUUUAAACUGAAAUUUGACUAAUCUAUGAGCUGAAUUUCAUGAAGAUGUCUUCUAAAUCCUAUUAGUGCUUCGAGUUUAUUUUCUAAUGGUGUAAGUUUUGUGAUUUUUUGACCUAUGGAACUCAAGUUAUACCUUUUAAAAAAAUGUCACCAAAGCUGGGAAUUUUAUCAAAUGGAUUGAGUGGGAUUUGGAAAAAUUUGAAAAACUUUCUGGGUUUUAAACAUAACUUUCUUUGGUUAAAUCCUACAUAUUUUAUUUUAAAAUACUUAGUGGUGUGUUAACCUUAGCAUGCACGAAAUAUUUCACUUGAUUUGAGCAAGAAAACUUGGUGAUUUUGAAAAGAAAAAAGUUCAUCUUCCUUGGCUGUUUUCUAAGUUUCUUUGAGCUUUAACUCUAAAAUAUUGGCUGCGAACUUAUACCUUUUGGCUUGUUAAACUUUUAAUGCUUUAAACAUGGCAUGCAUGAGUCAAUUCAUUAGUUUUGGAGAAAUAUGAAGUAAUCAUGGUUAGAGAAUUGUAUGAAAGAAGCUAAGAGUAAGGACAAGGUUUCCAACCUUAUUUUCAUGCAUUUGGUUGCAAGACUCUAUACCUUUUAAGCUACAUGUUUGAUAAGUUUUAAAAUUAGAGUUUUCUGUGUCUUUCACUUGUUUUAAUCAAGGUGAUAAGUGUAAUUGUAGCUUGGGCAUGUCUCAGGAGUCGGUGGUGAGUUAGAAGGAAACCCCGAAGUCAAGACAUGACUAUCCACUUGAUUUGGUGAGUGUUUCAAUGGCAUGGUCUGACUUAUACUUGAUUUGAAUGCUAUUUUGAUGAGAUUAUCAAUUGUUUGAAAUGCUAGCUCUCUUGCAUUGAUAUUGGUUAGGCGAGUGUGUACUUUAUCGCACUCAACCUAAUUUGACUGGAUCACUGUUCUACUAUUUACAUGUAAAAUGAUAUAUAUGUGCUUGACUUCAAGUCGUUUGAGUAUUUUAUGCCAUCGACUAUAUUGAGGGACUUGAAAUGCAACACUCCAGUGUUUUACAAGUGUUUAUAAUGACUCCACUGAGUGAUUGACUUGAAAUGCAAGUGAAGUGCCUGAAAUCCCAAAUCCCAUUAACUAGUUAGUCGAAUCGAGUCAGCAAGAGUUUGGUCGAGAAGAUUGAUGAACCAUGAGUAGUGUUUAUUGUUUUAUCCACUGGAUGCGUCCUUUGGAUUUGGUAUACUCGAGUAUUAGCUCUACUAUUUAUUAUGUUUGGCGUGCGGGUCCGGUAGGGGGAUGAACAGUGGAUGGAGACUGGAGUGAAGUGGAGUUCUACUGGAGAUUGAUGGAGUGUCAACGGAUCCCAGACAAGCUAUUGUGGAACCUGCUCCUGAGAGCAGACUGUAUUCUUAUGUGUAAAAGUGUUAAUCGUUUAUCUGACUUGUUUACUUGAAAUGUGAAUGACUUAUGAAUGUCCACUUGCUUUGAUUUGAGCUUGCUUUGAGAUUGUGAUGUAUAUAACUGCCAACUUGCUACUUCGUUUGCAUAUUGUCUUGGAACCUCACUAGGCGAAAGCUCAUUCUUUUAAUUUGUUUUCCUUAGCAGGCAUUGG